AGUUGUGCCAGACGGCCUGCCGCGGGUCCCGGCGCUGGGAGUUGGGAAGCUGCUCGUGGGCUGUGCUGGGGGGCUUGGCGCGGGGGCUUCCUGGAGUGCUCUGUCUUGCGAGAGACUGACGUUAGAAUUGAGUUUCCUUUUGCCAAGCUCGGAAUGGCGAUCGUGAAGCGUGGAGAUCCAGGAGAAACCACCGCGGAAUUAGCAUCCUCCUAGAGAAGCUCGGGAAUAGAAGAGUGAUAUUCCACCCAGAAUGGAAGUGUGUCCGUAUUGUAAAAGGCCAUUUAAGCGAUUAAAAUCCCACUUGCCACACUGUAAGAUGAUAGGAUCACCUGUACCUGCUGAUCAGAAAGUUUGUCAGUCCACACCAGCUACACUCCCACGUGCUAAAAAAGCGAAAGGGGCAACCAAAGAAGCUAAAGAGAGGGCGUUAGGGACAGAGAGUGAGAGAAGAAAUCCUAAGUUGAAAAAGGACGCACCAGAACGGACAGUUAAGUCCUUUCCACUACUAGCUGUUGGUUUGCAAACAGCCAGUAAUGCAAAGACAGACAAAGACAUCAAGAAUCAAAGUCAGCUUUCCCUCAAAAUGUUAGAAAAUACUGAACCAAAGAUUACUUUCCAGGGAGAAACUAAGGCUCAGUUUUUUGCAUCAGAAAACACCACUCCUGAGAAAGAACUUGAGAAAGAUUUGCCUAAAUCAGGGAAAAGUAGAAGUACUCCUUCAGAAACUGAAGCAUCUUUACCUCAAGGCCCACUGUUCCCUUCUUCAUCAAAUCAAGGUAGAAAAUACUCUUCAGCCUUACGUAAUGACGUACAGACCACUUCUGCUAAUUUAAGAUUGGACAGAAUUGAUCCCCCAAGACAGAAGCUUCUAGCAAAAUUACUAGAUAUGCCUUCUGAUGAUUAUCAUAAUUCUCCCAUGAAUCUCAAGUAUGGGGUUAAAAGAGUAAGAACAUCGUUGUCAAGCAAUGAGAGAGAUUCCAAGGCCAGGGGUCACUUCGCAGACAUCUCUAGUAAUGUUAGAGACUCUGAGUCUCAGGAAAAGAACCCAGAAUCGCAGGUUUUAGGUUUUAAAGUCAGGGAGAAUGAGGAAAGAGGACUUAAGCUCGAAGUAGAAGCAUGUGGGAGCAAAGGAAAUGCAGAAAAAAGUGUAUCUGUGACAGAAAUGACUUCCGUGAGCGAUGACUCUAAGACGGACUUCAGUACCGAUGAUUCAGCCACAAAGAAGAAAUCUCAAGGUGAAGAUUCCAAUUUAAAUGUAUUCAUGCCAAGGGAGACAGCUUGCAAUGACUUACUUUCUGUAUCACAGUCAUGUAAUCAAAGUCUUACCUCUCUGGCUCUAAAGUUUCUUCAAGAAGAGAAAGCAGAAGCCUGUCAUCAUAAUCGAGUCCCUGAUGUGAAGGCAUUGAUGGAGAGUGGGGACCAGCCUCUGCAGCCCGAACCUGGCUGUCGCCCCCAAACCUUACACCCCGGUUGCCAGCAGUCUUUACAUUCAACCCAGCAUCACGCUUCUAAAAGCCCCUUCACCAGUCAGAUCACGGUCGUCGCUGACAGGAAGAGUCUUCCUAGCUCCCUGGGGCUGGAGUGGUUUCCAGAGCUCUAUCCAGGUUAUCUUGGCCUAGGGGUGUUCCCAGGGCAGCCUCGGUAUUGGAAUGCAAUGGCCCAGAAACCCCAGCUCCUCAGUCCCCAGGGGGAAAGACUCUCACAAGGCGCUGUUCCUUCCGUAGGACUUUCAGACUUCAAGAUGAUGUCAGAUGUGCUUUUCUGUGUAGAGAAACCUGUGACAGCAGCCAGUCCUCAUACAUCAGGGUAACCUGAGUAAACUUCCAUGAAGUGAUUCCACCCGAUGGAAAGUUCCUUUGUUGGAAAGAAGUUCGACGGCUGUAAGGAGUUUGGAACCCCCGACCUGGAUUACAACCUCCAACUUCUCUCUAAUGAGGCUUUUGGGAGCUGUACAGAAAGGCUGGAUCAGGUGCAGCGCCACCGUGAAGAGUGGAGUUGGCGGCAUCACGAUGCUCUUCACAGGCUGCUUCGUCCUUUGUUGUAGCUGGAGUUUCAGGCAUCUGAAUUCAGAUAGAAACAAACUCAGCAUGACCGGGGAAUGUACCUCAUAGCUCCAGUUUGCAAGAUUGAUUGUCAGCUUGCCUUGUGAGGAUAUGCUUAUUGUUCAUAUAUGCCAGUACUACGGAUAAGUUCAUUUGCACAGCUAGCCCCAGUUGUGUAUAUGGUCUAGCAGAUUGGAGACUUCAUCCAGAAACACUGGAGAUUCUUCUCAAAACUGGAACUGUAGAGAGGUGAGACUGCUGUAUCUGCCGAAGCCCGUGGGCUUCAGAUGGCAGGAGGAACUGCUCAUGUCUUCACAAAGCCGAGCGCAAAAGAAGUCAAGAAUGCCCUUAACGUGGUUCGCGCACUUUAAGCAGCCGCCUCUGUCUCUGCGUCCCCGUGGCAUUGGCAGGAGCUUUCCUAGGUGAGCAGCAGUGCUUAGAUUUUGCUUCCAGGGCAGCACCGUGAAUUCCUCAUCAAGUCUUCCGGCAAGGUGCCUAGAAAUUCAGCCUGAGAAUCCGUAUAGGCAAUCCACAUCCACCUCCCCAUCCGUCCUACAGAGGAGUUCCGGCCAUACCUGGGCCCCGCCGUCCUUGAGAAGACUCGGUGGGGUUCUGGUACUGAAGAUUGGAGACGUUCGCAGGCAGGCCUGGACGCCCUGGCUGUAACUCCCGUGGUCUGUAGGGUGGACUAGCCCUGGUGCCACCUACCUGAGUAAUAUCUGAAAUACUUAGUUUACUGGGGAAAGUACAUUUUUUCUCAUACACAUUAAAAUAUCUAGCUAUUAAAAAUAAAAUGAUUUCGUUGUAUUAUCAAUGGGCUGUUUUACACUUGGGAAACCCUAUCUCCUGCCACUGUUCUUAUCAAUCCUGUUUUUGUGAUUUACAGUUGAUCCUAAUUCCUCUCAAUACCUGCCCCUCCAUGUUCCUUCUCCAUAUUACUACCACCACUCGCAAUAACCAAGAUAUUUUUUGAAAAUAAAA